CGAAGGGCGUAGCGUUGUUCGGAAUCACUGGGCGUAAAGACGCACGUAGGCGGAUGUGCCAGUCGGGGGUGGAAAUCCCGGAGCUCAACUUCGGAACUGCCUCUGAUACAGCACGUCUUGAGUCCGGAAGAGGUGGGUGGAAUUCCUAGUGUAGAGGUGAAAUUCGUAGAUAUUAGGAAGAACACCGGUGGCGAAGGCGGCCCACUGGUCCGGUACUGACGCUGAGGUGCGAAAGCGUGGGGAGCAAACAGGAUU
rnacentral:rRNA from 1 species